CCGGGGCGGUCCCGGGCAGAUCCCGGCCGGAUCCCGGCGGUGGGGCCGCGGAUCAGCACCACGGACAGCGCCCGGCGGCGCCUCCCGGGCGGGGCUGGACCGGGACGCGAGCCCGGCACCGGGAGCGGCACCGGACACCGGCGGGCGCGGGCAGGACUCUCCCGGGACAUCACCGCCCACACAGAGCCACCGAGGCGGCGCUGGACUGUUCGCCGCGGCCAGAAUCUCAUAGAUGGAUCCAACCCUGUCCCUGACAGAGGUCUCUGAAGAACAGGGAACUCAGGUUCUCACUCUGUGUUGACGAAGGUGGGCUUGGAGCUCUGGGCAGGUUUUACGUGACCUCACGAGGGGCUGCACAGGUUCCAGCACAAUCCCAGAGACGGGAGCGCGAGGGGCAGACAGAGCUGGAGGGCUGCAAGACAGGACUGCAGGCAAACUGUGCUGAAGCCAGGAAUGAACCCACACGUUCCCUGGGAGGAAUCCCCAGGGCCCCAGCAGGAUGCAUUAACAGCGCGUCUCUCCAGUGAGCCGUGAUGGGAAGAGCACGGAGCAAAAAAAGCACAGAGAACCGAAGAACCGAUCUCUCGAAGGAUCCUGGUUGGCAGCAAUAUCACCAUCUGACUGAAGAGAACUCAGCCACACGCAUAAUCCUCGGGAAAAUUCAUCUCCACCCUCCCGCAGACCCCGCCUGGAAGUGCAGCUGGGGAUCUCUCCGUGAUGAGCCUGGUCGGAGAUAGCUGGAGGCCAAGAGUGCCCACUCUUUCCAGACAGGCUUUUUCCCCCUGCUCUGGAGCUAAGUUUAGUUCCCAUCCAUAGAAACAAUUACCAAGGAGCCUCCCAGUGCCGAGGAGGGGGGGAGGUCCAGCUGCCACCAGUACAAGGAGCCACGUUCCUGAAAUCUCUGGGACAAACCAGAGGUGGCAGAUCCCUUCCUGAAAAAUAUCACAUGGAGAAAUACGGCCCCACGGAGACAGUCUAGACAAAAACCUCACACGCCUCCCAGCCUGCGAUUUAUGUUUCCUACGAAACACCUCGCUCUGAACAGGGAAUGUCUGGGUGUGAAACCAAGAGAGGAGCUCUUGCUCACACUUCUCCUGUCUUGAUUUUUACGUGACUGUCUAGCAAUGAUUUGUGGUAAAUCUCUUCGUGGAGCUGUGUCCCAGAACAAGGACUGAAAAGUGUCUUUGUCACCUGGAAUUCCAGUCCAGCUCAGCACCUCCCAAGCUGUCUUCUCUCUCAAAUUCAUUCUUCUUUACAAUUCAUCCUCUCUUCCAAUUGUCUUGGGCUGAACACUGAGUUGUCCUGAAUUUUUAUUUCUAAAUAUUGUCUCACUCCCCAGAUGUUUUCACUGCAGACCCCUCUGUGGGAAGAAGAGAAGAAAAUAUGUGAUGGUUUAGGUGAAAUUGUAGGAAAUCCAAGGCCAGGCAGGUGAACCCGUAUCCAGUGUGACAAGGAGUGCACACCCACUGCUGUUCCACCCCAUACUCAGAUUGGAGUCACAGAAUAUCCUGAGUUGUAAGGGACUCACAAGGAUCAUCCGAGUCCAACUCCCAGUUAAAUUUUACCCGGGAGGUUUGGGGCGACAGCAGUUUUGUACAAGAACACGUCCCCCCGUGUUCAGCAGUUGGCUCUGUCCUUACACAAACACGGUGUUGGGUAACACCUGGACCCGUUUUUAUCUGAUUUCCUGGAAAAUGGCAGUAUCACUAAUGCUUUCUGUUAAAUAAGACCACCUGGACACCUCCUGGUAUCAGCCCCAGCUAUCACAAACACUCCUGCUACCUAGGCCAGCACAAAGGGCUGUUAUCUCAGAGCAGCACAAAUCCCCAGACUGAAACACCCAUCUGGAGUUUGAAUAAAGUGUCCAUAGAAAGCA